rnacentral:rRNA from 1 species
AUUGAACGCUGGCGGCAUGCCUUACACAUGCAAGUCGAACGGCAGCACGGGAGCAAUCCUGGUGGCGAGUGGCGAACGGGUGAGUAAAGUAUCGGAACGUGCCCAGUCGUGGGGGAUAACGUAGCGAAAGUUACGCUAAUACCGCAUACGAUCUAUGGAUGAAAGCGGGGGAUCGCAAGACCUCGCGCGAUUGGAGCGGCCGAUAUCAGAUUAGGUAGUUGGUGGGGUAAAGGCUCACCAAGCCGACGAUCUGUAGCUGGUCUGAGAGGACGACCAGCCACAGUGGGAAUGGGACACGGCCCGGACGCCUGCGGGGGGCAGCAGUGGGGAAUUGUGGACAAGGGGGGAAAGCCUGACCCAGCCAUGCCGCGUGCAGGAUGAAGGCCUUCGGGUUGUAAACUGCUUUUGUACGAAACGAAAAGGUUUGGGCUAAUAAGCUGAGCUCAUGACGGUACCGUAAGAAAAAGCACCGGCUAACUACGUGCCAGCCGCCGCAGUAA